rnacentral:rRNA from 1 species
CAGUCGAACGGAGCUGCUUUGAUGAAGUUUUCGGAUGGAUUUAAAACAGCUUACUGUCGGACGGGUGAGUAACGCGUGGGUAACCUGCCUCACACUGGGGGAUAACAGUUAGAAAUAGCUGCUAAUACCGCAUAAGCGCACAGUUCCGCAUGGAACAGUGUGAAAAACUCCGGUGGUGUGAGAUGGACCCGCGUCUGAUUAGCCAGUUGGCGGGGUAACGGCCCACCAAAGCGACGAUCAGUAGCCGGCCUGAGAGGGUGAACGGCCACAUUGGGACUGAGACACGGCCCAAACUCCUACGGGAGGCAGCAGUGGGGAAUAUUGCACAAUGGGGGAAACCCUGAUGCAGCGACGCCGCGUGAGUGAAGAAGUAUUUCGGUAUGUAAAGCUCUAUCAGCAGGGAAGAAAGUGACGGUACCUGAAUAAGAAGCCCCGGCUAACUACGUGCCAGCAGCCGCGGUAAUACGUAGGGGGCAAGCGUUAUCCGGAUUUACUGGGUGUAAAGGGAGCGUAGACGGCAAGGCAUGUCUGAAGUGAAAGCCCGGUGCUUAACGCCGGGACUGCUUUGGAAACUGUUUAGCUGGAGUGCCGGAGAGGUAAGCGGAAUUCCUAGUGUAGCGGUGAAAUGCGUAGAUAUUAGGAAGAACACCAGUGGCGAAGGCGGCUUUUUGGCCUGUAACUGACACUGAGGCGCGAAAGCGUGGGGAGCAAACAGGAUUAGAUACCCUGGUAGUCCACGCCGUAAACGAUGAGUGCUAAGUG